GUAGUGGUGUGUGUUGGUAAAGUUCUGAGUGUUUCUGCUAGGUGUCGUAGUGGUGUGUUGGUAAAGUUCUGAGUGUUUCUGCUAGGUGUCGUAGUGGUGUGUUGGUAAAGUUCUGAGUGUUUCUGCUAGGUGUCGUAGUGGUGUGUUGGUAAAGUUCUGAGUGUUUCUGCUAGGCGUCGUAGUGGUGUGUUGGUAAAGUUCUGAGUGUUUCUGCAGGCUAGGCGUCGUAGUGGGCGUUGGUAAAGUUCUGAGUGUUUCUGCAGGCUAGGCGUCGUAGUGGGUUUC